rnacentral:rRNA from 1 species
UACAGAGGGUGCGAGCGUUAAUCGGAAUUACUGGGCGUAAAGCGCACGUAGGCGGCUUGGUAUGUCGGGUGUGAAAUCCCCGGGCUCAACCUGGGAACUGCAUCCGAAACUGCCUUGCUAGAGUAUGGGAGAGGGAAGUGGAAUUUCCGGUGUAGCGGUGAAAUGCGUAGAUAUCGGAAGGAACGCCGGUGGCGAAAGCGGCGUGCUGGACCUUUUCUGACGCUGAUGCGCGAAAGCCAGGGGAGCGAACGGG